rnacentral:rRNA from 1 species
UACACCUACGGGACGCAGCAGUGGGGGAUAUUGCACAAUGGGGGGAACCCUGAUGCAGCGACGCCGCGUGGGUGAAGAAGUAUUUCGGUAUGUAAAGCCCUAUCGGCAGGGAAGAAAUUGGACGGUACCUGACUAAGAAGCCCCGGCUAACUACGUGCCAGCAGCCGCGGGAAUACGUAGGGGGCAAGCGUUAUCCGGAUUCACUGGGUGUAAAGGGAGCGUUGACGGCCAUGCAAGCCUGGAGUGAAAGCCCGGGGCCCAACCCCGGGGCUGCUCUGGGAACUGUGCGGCUG